rnacentral:rRNA from 1 species
AUUGAACGCUGGCGGCAGGCCUAACACAUGCAAGUCGAACGGUAGCACAGAGAGCUUGCUCUCGGGUGACGAGUGGCGGACGGGUGAGUAAUGUCUGGGAAACUGCCCGAUGGAGGGGGAUAACUACUGGAAACGGUAGCUAAUACCGCAUAACGUCUUCGGACCAAAGUGGGGGACCUUCGGGCCUCACACCAUCGGAUGUGCCCAGAUGGGAUUAGCUAGUAGGUGGGGUAAUGGCUCACCUAGGCGACGAUCCCUAGCUGGUCUGAGAGGAUGACCAGCCACACUGGAACUGAGACACGGUCCAGACUCCUACGGGAGGCAGCAGUGGGGAAUAUUGCACAAUGGGCGCAAGCCUGAUGCGGCCAUGCCGCGUGUAUGAAGAAGGCCUUCGGGUUGUAAAGUACUUUCAGCGGGGAGGAAGGCGUUAAGGUUAAUAACCUUGGCGAUUGACGUUACCCGCAGAAGAAGCACCGGCUAACUCCGUGCCAGCAGCCGCAGUAACAC